AGAGUUUGAUUCUGGCUCAGAUUGAACGCUGGCGGCGUGCUUAACACAUGCAAGUCGAACGUGAAAGUCCUUCGGGGCGAGUAAAGUGGCGCACGGGUGAGUAACGCGUGGAUAAUCUACCCUUAAGAUGGGGAUAACGGCUGGAAACGGUCGCUAAUACCGAAUACGCUCCCGAUUUUAUCGUUGGGGGGAAAGAUGGCCUCUGCUUGCAAGCUAUCGCUUAAGGAUGAGUCCGCGUCCCAUUAGCUAGUUGGCGGGGUAACGGCCCACCAAGGCAACGAUGGGUAGCCGGUCUGAGAGGAUGACCGGCCACACUGGAACUGGAACACGGUCCAGACUCCUACGGGAGGCAGCAGUGGGGAAUAUUGCGCAAUGGGCGAAAGCCUGACGCAGCGACGCCGCGUGAGGGAUGAAGGUUCUCGGAUCGUAAACCUCUGUCAGGGGGGAAGAAACCCCCUCGUGUGAAUAAUGCGAGGGCUUGACGGUACCCCCAAAGGAAGCACCGGCUAACUCCGUGCCAGCAGCCGCGGUAAUACGGAGGGUGCAAGCGUUAAUCGGAAUCACUGGGCGUAAAGCGCACGUAGGCGGCUUGGUAAGUCAGGGGUGAAAUCCCACAGCCCAACUGUGGAACUGCCUUUGAUACUGCCAGGCUUGAGUACCGGAGAGGGUGGCGGAAUUCCAGGUGUAGGAGUGAAAUGCGUAGAUAUCUGGAGGAACACCGGUGGCGAAGGCGGCCACCUGGACGGUAACUGACGCUGAGGUGCGAAAGCGUGGGUAGCAAACAGGAUUAGAUACCCUGGUAGUCCACGCUGUAAACGAUGGGUGCUGGGUGU
rnacentral:rRNA from 1 species